ACUCAAAUGAAUUGACGGGGGCCCGCACAAGCAGUGGAGUAUGUGGUUUAAUUCGAAGCAACGCGAAGAACCUUACCAGGGCUUGACAUACUAGUGAAUAGGGUAGAGAUAUCCUAGUCCUUCGGGACACUAGAACAGGUGGUGCAUGGUUGUCGUCAGCUCGUGUCGUGAGAUGUUGGGUUAAGUCCCGCAACGAGCGCAACCCCUGUUGUUAGUUGCCAGCAUUAAGUUGGGCACUCUAGCAAGACUGCCGGUGACAAAUCGGAGGAAGGUGGGGACGACGUCAAAUCAUCAUGCCCCUUAUGUCCUGGGCUACACACGUACUACAAUGGCUAUUACAGUGGGAUGCCAAGCCGCAAGGUGGAGCCAAUCCCCAAAAAUAGUCCCAGUUCAGAUUGUGGGCUGAAACCCGCCCACAUGAAGUCGGAAUUGCUAGUAAUGGCAGGUCAGCAUACUGCCGUGAAUACGUUCCCGGGCCUUGUACACACCGCCCGU
rnacentral:rRNA from 1 species